GAUGAAGAACGUAGCGAAAUGCGAUAAGUAAUGUGAAUUGCAGAAUUCAGUGAAUCAUCGAAUCUUUGAACGCACCUUGCGCCCUUUGGCCAUUCCGAAGGGCAUGCCUGUUUGAGUAUCAUGAACACCUCAACUCUUUAUGGUUUGCCAUGAUGAGCUUGGACUUUGGGGGUUUUGCUGGCCUUUGGUCGGCUCCUCUCAAACGGAUCAGCUUUCCAGUGUUUGGUGGCGUCACUGGUGUGAUAACUAUCUACGCCUGUGGUUUUCUGCCAGAUAACCUUCAGCGAUGGAGGUUCGCUGGGGCUCAUAAAUGUCUCUCUUCAGUGGAGACAGCUUUUUGGACGUUUGAUCUCAAAUCAGGUAGGACUACCCGCUGAACUUAAGCAUAUCAAUAAGCGGAGGA
rnacentral:misc_RNA from 1 species